GAUGAACGCUAGCGGCAGGCUUAAUACAUGCAAGUCGAGGGGCAGCAUGACUGUAGCAAUACAGUUGAUGGCGACCGGCAAACGGGUGCGGAACACGUACAGAACCUUCCUUCGAGCGGGGAAUAGCCCAGAGAAAUUUGGAUUAAUACCCCAUAGUAUUACGGAGUGGCAUCACUUUGUAAUUAAAGAUUUAUCACUUGAAGAUGGCUGUGCGGCUGAUUAGGUAGUUGGCGGGGUAACGGCCCACCAAGCCUGCGAUCAGUAACUGGUGUGAGAGCACGACGAGUCACACGGGCACUGAGACACGGGCACUACUCCUACGGGAGGCAGCAGUAAGGAAUAUUGGUCAAUGGACGAAAGUCUGAACCAGCCAUGCCGCGUGGAGGAUGAAGGUCCUCUGGAUUGUAAACUUCUUUUAUAUGGGACGAAAAAAGGCUUUUCUAAGUCGUCUGACGGUACCAUAUGAAUAAGCACCGGCUAACUCCGUGCCAGCCGCCGCGGUAAAAC
rnacentral:rRNA from 1 species